AAACCGCGAAUGGCUCAUUAAAUCAGUCGAGGUUUACUAGAUGAAAAGUAUCCUACUUGGAUAACUGUGGCAAUUCUAGAGCUAAUACAUGCAACCAAGCUCCGACCCUCGCGGAAAGAGCGCUUUUAUUARUUCAAAACCAAUCGUCGUACCCUUCGCGGGGUGCGGCGUCCCGAUUGGUGACUCUGGAUAACUUUGUGCUGAUCGCAUGGCCUUUGCGCCGGCGACGCAUCUUUCAAAUGUCUGCCCUAUCAAAUGUCRAUGGUACGUGAUAUGCCUACCAUGUUUGUAACGGGUAACGGGGAAUCAGGGUUCRAUUCCGGAGAGGGAGCAUGAGAAACGGCUACCACAUCCAAGGAAGGCA
rnacentral:rRNA from 1 species